UCCCUGGUGGUCCAGUGGUUAAGAAGCUGCCUUGCAAUGCAGGGGACCCAGGUUCCAUCCCUGGUCAGGGAA
rnacentral:tRNA from 1 species